rnacentral:rRNA from 1 species
UCGGGAAUUUUGGGCAAUGGGCGAAAGCCUGACCCAGCAACGCCGCGUGAAGGAUGAAGUAUUUCGGUAUGUAAACUUCGAAAGAAUAGGAAGAAUAAAUGACGGUACUAUUUAUAAGGUCCGGCUAACUACGUGCCAGCAGCCGCGGUAAUACGUAGGGACCAAGCGUUGUUCGGAUUUACUGGGCGUAAAGGGCGCGUAGGCGGCAAUUCAAGUCAUCUGUGAAAUCUCCGGGCUUAACUCGGAACGGUCAGAUGAUACUGCUUUGCUAGAGUGCAGAAGGGGCAAUCGGAAUUCUUGGUGUAGCGGUGAAAUGCGUAGAUAUCAAGAGGAACACCUGAGGUGAAGACGGGUUGCUGGGCUGACACUGACACUGAGGCGCGAAAGCGUGGGGAGCAAACAGGAUUAGAUACCCCCGUAGUCCCUGAGCGGGCUGGCAAGGCGCAU